ACGCACGCUGGCGGCGUGCUUAACACAUGCAAGUCGAACGGAAAGGCCCUGCUUUUGUGGGGUGCUCGAGUGGCGAACGGGUGAGUAACACGUGAGUAACCUGCCCUUGACUUUGGGAUAACUUCAGGAAACUGGGGCUAAUACCGGAUAGGAGCUCCUGCUGCAUGGUGGGGGUUGGAAAGUUUCGGCGGUUGGGGAUGGACUCGCGGCUUAUCAGCUUGUUGGUGGGGUAGUGGCUUACCAAGGCUUUGACGGGUAGCCGGCCUGAGAGGGUGACCGGCCACAUUGGGACUGAGAUACGGCCCAGACUCCUACGGGAGGCAGCAGUGGGGAAUAUUGCACAAUGGGCGGAAGCCUGAUGCAGCAACGCCGCGUGCGGGAUGACGGCCUUCGGGUUGUAAACCGCUUUCGCCUGUGACGAAGCGUGAGUGACGGUAAUGGGUAAAGGAGCACCGGCUAACUACGUG
rnacentral:rRNA from 1 species